rnacentral:lncRNA from 1 species
UUUUCUCUUAAUUUGACGACCCCAGAACAUUCCCCCAUUUUACAUAAUAAUGUCUGGGGUUAUUGUCAACCCUAGAGACAUACCUCACCAUCCUCAUACCUAUCUUUGUAACUCCGCCGGCGGAGCCGCCGCCAGCAUAGGUCAGUCACCUCAAAUGAGCUCAAAUUAACAUCAUGUGAUCCUCUCUUCUCCCUCAUCUCAAAUCUAUAAACAUCUUUCUUCAAAACCCAGUCAAACGCCUCAAAUAAUCGAUCAAUGUUUUCCGGCCACGAUACCACCUUGGCCAAAUGACAUCAAAUUAACACCCUAGGGUCGCCUAAGUUCCCUUUACCCAAUCCCCCUAACCUCGUCCCUCGAAUGUGGCCAGAAAUGUGCGAAUGUCAAUUUUUAGCUUUCCGUCCAAAAGACUUAGUGCUCUGAAAUGAUUAAAAUGGGUGCUACAAGGUCCAUGUGCUUCCUUAGUAGGGUUUAUGCUGUUGUCAGCACCUGAAUUUCACCAGACAAGGUCGAAUUGAGAUUGUGAGAGGUGGACGGAUUUUAGUGAGUUCCUUUUCUAUUUUGAUUGUUAUUUUAUUUUGUUAAUUUUUGCAUGUGAAAGUUAGUUUAUGUUUCUUUUAAUUUUGUUUGUUAUUUUGAAUUAUUUCUGCUUCUUUGGUUAUCAAUGGUAAUUUGUAAUAUCAAUUAAUUCAUGUCUAUUAGCUGUUUAGUUGGGUUUACAUAUUGGUGCGUAAUCAUUCAGUGUUUGGAUUGAUAGUUUCAUAUUUGCAAAUUCAUGGUUUUAUUGAUAAUUGCUUGUCGAGGGUCUUUCGGGCAGGGGUAAGGCUACAUAUUACCCUCCCCAGACCCCACCUGGUGGGAAUAUACUGGGUAGUUGUUGUUGUUAUUGUUGUUGCUUGUAGUUUAGGAUUUGAAUUGUUUGUUUAGUAGAAUCUUCAAUAGUGACUGAUUUCAUUAGUAUAUAAUACUGGUUCAGUUUUAAGAAUAUCAGGCUGUAGUUUAAUGUUCAUGUUCGGUUUAGUUAAUUUGUAAAUCUCAGUAUGGUACAAGGAUAGUUUAGGGAUUUCAAUGAAAGAGAAUUUUCUAGAAGCUUCUAGGUGUAGGGGUAAAGGUAUAUUUCAGUAAAACUAAGGGACUGGAGUUGAA